rnacentral:rRNA from 1 species
UACGUAGGGGGCAAGCGUUAUCCGGAUUUACUGGGUGUAAAGGGAGCGUAGACGGCACAGCAAGUCUGAUGUGAAAACCCGCGGCUCAACUGCGGGAUUGCAUUGGAAACUGUUGAGCUUGAGUACUGGAGGGGCAGGCGGAAUUCCUGGUGUAGCGGUGGAAUGCGUAGAUAUCAGGAGGAACACCGGUGGCGAAGGCGGCCUGCUGGACAGUAACUGACGUUGAGGCUCGAAAGCGUGGGGAGCAAACAGGAUUAGAUACCCGGGUAGU